GCGCCUAUAGCUCAGGUGGAUAGAGCACAGGAUUCCUAAUCCUGUGGCCCCUGGUUCGAGUCCAGGUAGGCGCA
rnacentral:tRNA from 1 species